CCCAGAGAAAUUUGGAUUAAUCCUCCAUAAUAUCUUUUUCGUGCAUAUGAAAAAGAUUAAAGCUACGGUGGUAAAAGAUGGGCAUGCGUUUUAUUAGCUAGUAGGUGAGGUAACGGCUCACCUAGGCCACGAUAAAUAGGGGCCCUGAGAGGGGGAUCCCCCACACUGGUACUGAGACACGGACCAGACUCCUACGGGAGGCAGCAGUGAGGAAUAUUGGACAAUGGACGAAAGUCUGAUCCAGCCAUGCCGCGUGCAGGAUGACGGCCCUAUGGGUUGUAAACUGCUUUUAUACAGGAAGAAAC
rnacentral:rRNA from 1 species